rnacentral:rRNA from 1 species
GACGAACCGUGCGAACGUUAUUCGGAAUCACUGGGCUUAAAGCGCGUGUAGGCGGGACGGCACGUCGGUCGCUGAAAUCCCCCGCUCAACCGGGGAACGGGCGCCGAUACGACCGCCCUGGAGGGGCGUAGGGGGACCUGGAACUUCCGGUGGAGCGGUGAAAUGCGUAGAUAUGUGGAAGAACACCGGUGGCGAAAGCGGUUCUCUAGCUAAUAACUGACGCUGAGGCGGCGAGAG